CCUCGCGCGUCUAAACGUUGCCCAGAUAUGCUGUCUAGGUAGGCAGUUCACUAGGUUCUAACUUCUGAAACAGCCUAUGAGAGUUCAAGAGGACCUGUUGCGCUGUAGUUUCAUGAGUGAUGGGAAUACCCCUCACUCUUCCGUUAGUUAUGUGUGACUACGAUGAGCAGACUGUCAAGAGGUUCCGACAAUGCGCAAGUGCUCAGCUGCAUUUUACUUCACUCUAGGUUUCAUAUCUCUCUGUACAACCGAAGCGUCAACAGGAUCCUGUGACUGCCAAAACGUGAACUCAUUGAAAGAUAAAUGUAACAACACAGAAGUGGAUAUUUCUCAUUUAUUAGGAGUCUAUGAUUUGACAUGCUUCAUGAAACAUACUAAAUCUGAUCCUGUAUACAUCUGUGAAUGGAAAAAUGAAGGAAACAUAUCAACACUCUAUGCACUACAGAGGAAAUGCAGAUGUAUAACUGUACAUAAGAAAAAUGCAACUGCAUGGAUUUCCGAUACCUUUGAUGUGAUAAAUGGGAAUUUAAUAGCUCACGUAACUGCAACCACUGAAGAUCAGAGCAGGUGCAGCUACAAAAAUUUCAGUGGAAUUUCAUCACAGAUGACACGGUGCGGUCCUCCUUCAAAACAGAAUGUAACUUUUAAAAGAAGCUCAGGCCAUUUGUCUGUUGAAGUGGACUGGGGAGAUGAAAGAACAUAUAUUGAAAAAUUCUCUGUAAAGUAUAGAGAAUUCAGCGCUACAAUGUGGAAAGAGCAACAGUCUAAAAACCACAGAGAGUUUAUUAUGUGGAAUUUGACAUCUUCUCUGUCCUACGAGUUGCAAAUACAUUGUCUUCACAAUGCAAAGUGUGCGCAGUGUCCUCUCAGUGAGGUCAUCAUGGUACCACAGGAACUCACAGAUGCACCAUCAAUCAAAUGGGAAAUUCAAGACGAUAUACAUUUUAUAUCUGCAGGACAGAGAAAAGUGGUCGUGAUGUGGGAGCAUGCAAAAAGUGAGGCUGUGGCUGACUACAAUGUGACGGUGAGGAAAGUAUCCGGGGAACCCAUUAAUCAGGACAGUUUCAACAUUAAAGAUCCAUCUCUCAACCUGAUCCUGUCUUACUCCGCAUACAACAUCAGUGUCAGGGCUCUGAACAGCGCUGGAUCAUCUCCCGUUUCCAGCAUAGCCAUUGAGAAAAUGGAUGAGUGGAGAGAUUCGUUUGGGCCGCUCAGUGUUAACAUAACCGGAAACAACAGUUUCAGUCUCUCCUGGAGCAGCUCUGUCUCUAGCGUGUGUUAUUCUGUGGAGUGGUGGGCCAAAGGACAGAUACCAGCUUUCCGACCAUUUUAUGAGAAGCAGACGCACAGAGAAAUAACUGACAUAACUGAGAGCAGUACUGUUCCCUUUUAUUGUCCUAUAAGUAGGGUGAAAUAACUUUAUAACGGUAUAUUUGUAUAAUAGGACACUAAGGAUGUCCAAAAUGAUAAAAAAAGAAACCUAGUGAAAAAAAAAAAAAAGUUCUUAGGAAUGUAAUCUUAGUUUUUAUGUUGUAAUCAUUAAUUUGAUAACUCUAAAAACAUGCUAUGGUAUAAAUAAAAGUAUAAAUUUCUUGUAAAAGUAAUCAAUAUUUUAAUACAUGAUACUGUAUAUUUCUUAAUAAUUAUUUUUCAAACAUGUUUCUCAUGGUAAAAAAGAUUUUUUAAUUAUUAAUGAGAUCCAUUUGACAAUUUGACCUAAACUUGUCUUUCUUACAGUAAUUUUUUUAUAUUUGUAAGAGACUUGCUGACUUUAACACACAGUAAUGAUUAUCUACAGGAUUUCUCUCUGUGACACUCUGUUGGUUAUUCCUUAUAUAAAUAUGGUUAUACCUGCCAUUGCUGGUUACCAAGGAUAGAGAUUAAAGUCGAGGAUCUAAGCACAAAUGAUACUUUAAUAAUCCAAACCAAAAACUAAGGCACUCAGGUAUACAGACAAUGACCAAAAAAAACAAAAACAAACAUACAAAGUGUUUUACAAAGUGACGUCGCCAACUACUGACCUGUCAUGCAUAACUAUUAAAAACGCUGUAUUUUCGCAGAUUUGUGUGAAAGGGGAUCGUUUUGACAGCGUUGUUGUCUGUUUGCGAAAAACAACUUUACUGUUUUUAGUACAUCAUUGUCAUGUAAACGUACCCAUAAAUAUACAAGAUAUUGAGUGCUAAAAUAAGGCACAGGUGGGAAGGAUCAAUCAACUAAUAAGACACCAUAGCAACCAAGGACACAGAGACUAAACACAGGUAAAGAAACUAAACUCUAAAGCCCGGAACACACCAAGCCGACGCCGACGAUCUAGUGGCGACAAUAGCAGACUGCGAGGUUGGCUCACGUUGCUAGCGUCUGGGUCUUUCCCUGACACACCAAACCAACGCUUGACACCCGAUGGCCAAGUAGCAUGUCCAUUCUGCACUUGCGUAAGAAGAAAUGCCUUUCCAUACCAGCAGAGGGCAGUAGCUGAACAGCCAAUCAGAAUGAUCAGAUGGCCCGACUGACAGACUAGCUCCGACGACGAUUUAACAUGUCGAAUCGGCCGAAAAAAAGCAGACGAGGACCAACUUCAGCCGACGGUGCAGAACACACUGAGAAAACUUAGUUGGCCGACGAACAAAAACUGCCCGACGGCCGACCGUCGGCUUGGUGUGUUCCGGGCUAAAGACAAUACCAAAGUGACUUUGAUUUUGUCAUGGAAUCUAUGAGGGAGGUUUAUUGACAAGAUGUUAGACAAGAUAUUGAGGGAGAGGUGGUGAACACAGUCCAAACAGUAGGUAGGGAUGAAGCACGAUGACAGGCAGGCUGAGAGAGAGCGACCGCUGAGUCCAACCCAGGAUGACAGUAGGUUGAGGAGCAGAGAUGUUUAGGCAAGACCGGAGAGAAACAACGUAGCCCAGGCAGGAACACAGCUCAGGACAGUCACUCAUGGUCUGACAGGCACUGCACAGGUCUUGCUGCUUGCUAGAUAGAGAGAGCAGCCAGCGAAGCUCAGCUUGCUGGACAGGACUAGACAAAACUUGAGACACAGCAAGACAUGACAAGGCAGACAGCAGAUGGUCAGGAACAAGGCAGAUCAAGACACGACUAGAAUUAUAAAAGCUAUAAGCAACUUCUACAAUAAACACGACAGACUUCAGCAACAAGACAUCUACUACGAAGUACAAAGUGGCACAAAGUAUAAAGAGUAACGAACUGGCAAAACAUGAGGGAAAGUGCACAAUAUAAAGGGAGCAAAGAACAUGAGGAACAGGUGACAACACUCAGACUAAUGAGGACAGAUCAACGACUAAACAAGAGGGUGUGGUAAUUAGAAAAAACAAGGAGGCAGGAUAGAGGAGCACAUGGCCAGCACAAACACAGACAGAGACAUGUGCUCAAGAAUAACACAAACAAAGACAGAGACAUGUGCGGUAGGGUGUAAACAUGGAAGUCCCAAACUGGCCAGGAAACACAGAGGGAGGGAGGGAUGGGUGGGAACAGAACCGGGCAAAAAGUUAAUGGCUGAUACCAGGGUGGUGCUUGGUUAGGGGAACCAUAACCAGUAAAUACAGAAGGUGGGAUGGGAGGUGUGAGAACCGGACCAGGCAAAAGGUUCAUGGCUGACCAGGGAGGUGCCGGCUUAGGAGAACCAUAACCAGGAAACACAGAGGGUGGGAAGGGAGGGAUGGGAACUUGACUGGUGGCUCCUUUAGAUACAGGGACUUGUUUAACUGGUCUGGACUUCCAACUGGGCUUGGUGGCAGUGGCAAAAUCAGGGGCAAUGGCUGAACUGGCAGGGAAGAAGAAUGUCUUGGAAAUGGGUUCGGAGACAGACUCUGGGGUGCCCUUUGAAAUUUCAGGAUCAGACUUAGAAACAAACUCAAAAUUGUCUUCAGUGGCUGGAGCCAAAACUGGACAGUAUACAGGGGCUGGAGCUGACACUGGACCAGGCUCAGGGGCUAGAGCAAGCUCUGUGACUGCUCUUUCAUGAGCAGGAGCAGGCUCUGUGAAUGCUCUCUCUGGAGCUGGAGUGGGCUUUGUGACUGCUCUCUCUGGAGCGGGCUUAGGAAUUGCAUCUCCUUCUGGAGCAGACUCGGGAACAGCUUUCUCAGCAGCUCAGGAACAGCUCUCUCUGCAGCAGGCUCAGGAACAACCUCCUCUGAAGCAGGCUCAGGAACUGCUCUCAACGGAGCAGGGCUUGGGACUGCUCUCUCUCAAGCGGACUCUGGAAUUCUAUUUCCAGGAAUUUCAUACUUUGUGGACACAACAGAAAUCUUUACUGUGGACAUGGCAGGACUGACAGGAAUCCUUGCUGUGGACAUGACAAGACUUGUAAGACAUUCAGAAAAGGCCUCUGCAGCAAUGACAACAGGCAGCUUGGAAAUGGCCUCCUUGACCACAACAGCAGGCAUUGACUGACCAGAAGAGGCCUCUGUGAACAUGACAGGGCUGGCAGAAACUGUCUCUGAGGGCAAGACAUGACUAGCAGGUGGCUUUGAAAAUUUCACUGGACUUGAUACCUCAGGAACCACUGGACUUGAGACAAACAGAAUCGCAUCCUCCAGGACCUCAGGGUUCUGGGCACACAGACUUAAGUAUUCUCAGACCAAUGGACUUGGGGCUUGAGAUUGGAGGAUAGUAGACUGCUCUGCAUGGGCUUUUCUCUUCUUCCGCUUGCGACGGGUCGAUGGCGUGUGCCUGACUGCCUCUGUAGAAUCUGGAGCUAACUUGGCCACCUCAGGUGGAACAGCAGUGAUCUCCGUUGAAUCAGCAGCAAAUGAAGCUGACUCAAACUCUGAUGUAACAAGAAAAGACUUAAUUGACUGAGGGACAACACUUGACUUUACAGGCUCAGGAAUAACAGGAAAACUCUUGGCAGAUACUGGGAAUACAGAGGUUAAUUCAACAGACUCAGAAGUGGCUGACUUGGUAACCUGAGAAAAGACAGCGGUUGACUUGACUGGCUCUGGAGUCACACAAGAGGUCUCCAUGGGCAGGACAUGGCUGGCUAGAACACCCACUUAUAGCGUGACAUGAAUGGCAAGUGGCCUUGAAAAUGAUUCCACUGGACUAGAUGCUUCAGGAACCACUGUGCUUGGGGCUUUAGAAGGAAGGGUAUUAGACUGGGCCUCUCUUUUCCUCCGCUGUAGUAUCUGUAGCUGACUCGGCAAACACAGACGGAAUAGCAGUUAACUCCAUUGACUCAGCAGUGACAAAAACAUAUCCAGCAGGCUCAGAAAUGACAGGAACAGACUUAGACUGAGAGAAGACUGCGCUUGACCUAGCUGAUUCUUGAAUCACCGAAGUGGACAUGUCCCGUUCAGGAAUGAGAGUAGUUGACUCAGACUUAGUAACUGGAACUGACUUGAUUGCUUUGGAGAUGAUAGGGACAGUCUCUUCAGACUGCACAGUAUCAGCACAGAAGGCUAUGUAAGCCAAAAUGGAUGAGCUAUAUUCCUCCAGGUCUGUACUCUGUGCAAACAACUCCCAGUUUGUAUUUUCAAAACAGUCCUGCAAUCGUGAAAUUGCCUCUUCCCUCCAGACUUGGACAGUUUUAACAGCUGGUCGUGUUCUGCAAAUGAGAGGUCUGUAGGAUGGAAUCAUUUCUAUUGAAAUAUGGUCAGAUAGGCCAAGAUGUGGAGAUAGAAUAGCUUUGUAAGCUCCUGGGAUAUUAGUGUACACUUGGUCAAGUAUAUUCUUAUCCCUGGUUGGGAAAUGUACAUUGCUGUAUAAUUUGGGCAUUACAAUUUUAAGAUCCACAUGAUUAAAGUCUACUGCUAUGAUCACAGCUGCCUCUGGAUAUGCAUUCAGCUGGCUGUUAAUGGUGUUAUGCAGCUCCUCCAGAGCUAGCUUAGCAUUAGCCUGUGGUGGAAUGUAAACAGCUGUGAUAAGAAUAACAGUAAAAUCUCUUGGUGCGUAAAAAGGUCUGCAUUUUAAAGUCAAAUACUCAAUUUCAGGAGAACAAUGUGUCUUAAUUAUAUCCGUAGACAUGCACCACGCAUUAUUAACAUAUAUGCAUGUUCCUCUGCCUUUACUCUUACCAGAGUCGGCCGUUCUAUCCGCUCGAUAAACGGAGCGGCCAUCUAGGUCGAUGGCGGAAUCAGGGAUAGCACUGUCCAGCCAAGUCUCUGUAAUUACCAUAAUGCAGCUAUCAAUGCAGGGAGAAGUAAUCCUUAGUCGUAUUUCGUCCAUUUUGUUGACGAGUGACCGAGAGUUCGUAAGAAAGAGACUCGGAAGCGCUGGCCUGUGUGGAACCUGGUUCGUACACCAGCUCUCUUUCCCCACUUAUGCUUCCUUUCCCUGCGCCGCCUUCACAGCCUCCCUUGUGGGAUGAUGAUCGUUCAGCUGAGCUCCUCAGUUUUUCAGCCCUAUACGAGAUAUUAUUUCUUACUGCACACCAGACCAGACGCAGACACCUGCAACAUGAAGAAUGUGAACAACAGUGAAAUGACAUACAGCACAGCUCAAGCUUAUUUGAGUGAAGGAAGUCCUAUUAGUGCUCCUGGGAAUGUGAGCAUUUUGAAUAUUACCCGGCAUUCCUCAGUGAUCACGUGGAGUCCCGUGUCUGAGGAAGACUUACGUGGAUUCUUAUUAGGCUACUACAUCUACUACACAGAAGACAAUAAUGAAAUACCAUUGGAAGUGGAUCCUAGCAUAAACAGAUUUGAGCUGCUGAAUCUUGAAAGCAACAGAGCGUACCGCGUGCAGCUGUCUGCAUUUACAGCGGCUGGAGAAGGACAGCGCAGUGAUUUCAAACACUUUGAAACAAACCCGACGGAAUUCACGGCUUUGAGCAGCAUUAUAGCUGCGGUGAUUGUGGGAAUAAUCAUUCUUUUACUAGCGGUUCACCUCAGCUGUCGGCUUCUGCACAGAGCCAAGAAACUGAUGUGGCCCAGUAUACCAAAUCCUGAGAAUAGCAAUGCUGUUCAGAAAAUUGAAAUUGCCUAUGAAUUGGGUAUCCUGGAGCCACUGAACAGACAGAGGUUAGAGGAGAGUGAGGGAUGUGAUUCCAGUACACUGUGUGUCGUUGAGAGCAAAAGGGAGGCGACUCCUCUCAGCAGCCCUCCCAUUUCUCAGACUAGUGUGAAGCCCACCAUCCUCCUCCUCAGUGAAGAUGAGGACAGCCCAUCCAUCCUAGACGAGAUCGCACCCCCAGACACCCCAACCUUCCCUAUGGACUUCAGUAAGACAGACUCAACUUUGAGCACUUCUGUUGACAAUGAUGUCACAAGCUUAGAAAGCAAAGACCCUGGAGUGACCAUCUCCAACAUGACACGAUCGGACUUCAUCCCAGCAUCCCAACCUGCUGUUGUUUUCAUGAGCGAUUACACCACCAUGGAAAUCUUCCAGCAGGUCACUAUGACUGCGAUUCAGGGUCCAUCCAUCCAAACAGUGAAUCCAGAAUUUGUUCCUGUACAUCCAGGGCAGGAUUACAUUCGGCAAUCCUGUUUUGCAAGAAAUAGACAGUCUGAUAACUCAUCAGGGGCAUGUAAUGGUGCUGAAGUUUUGAACCCAGAAAUCACAGUGCUCUGAAAUGCUUUUAUCCAGUGAUUUACAGAACAGUUACAAAGACAAUCACUCUGGCGCAACCCAAGUUGCGGAGCUGCGUUUAAGGGUAAAAAAUUCAUUGUCCUGUUCUUGACUGAGCUUUAGCCACUACUCAACGCCUCCAAUAAAAUAUGGAAUACGUCACUUUUAAUGGCAAUGGAUUGGACCCAAGGCUCCGAAUUCUGAAACACCAGUGUUCAUGACAAACACUCCUACUGUACAUCAAUGACACAGCCCUAGCUGUACCUUAAAAGGGCUGUUCCAUCUAAGGCUAGAUUCACACUGUCAGUCCAAAUCCAUUUAUUUGUGUAUCCAAUUGGAAUCUGAUCUAAAUGAUUGACUGUCCACACUGUGUAUCGCAACUGUUCAGAUCGUAUUUGCAAAGCUGGGUAGUAACUGAUCAUUUGUAAUCUGGAUUACAUAAUCAGAUUCCUAAAAUUAAAUACUUGUAAUUAGAUAUUAUUUUUUAAAAUACUUAUAAUCAGACUACAGUUACUUUUUAUUGAUUACAUGAUUAAAUAAUAUUUACAAAAUGUCAAUAAAUUAAUUAUACUAUUUUAACCAAGUUUUUAACUACCUUUCUGGACGUCAAAAGGUGCAAUGACGUUGCUGCCUAUGUGUGGAUCAGAUACCCUUGGAUUUCAUCAAAAAUAUCUUAAUUAGUGUUGGUAGACCUACAGCAAAAAACAAUAGCAACAUGGAGGGGUUUUCAAUACAGAAAACUUACAACAUGACAAUCUGUAGCCGCAGUGCUACUACUACUACUUAUGAGGCAGCAGCAAAAACGUAGCAGCUUUAUUCCCUGCUACUGCCUCCGGCGGUUUAAAAAAAAAAUCAGAGGUGUAGGCCUACACCAGCCCGAUUAGCAGUAUAAAUUAUAUUUUUCCACUCAACCUGCACUUCGCAACAAUGCAACCUUGUUUCUGCAAUGACUUUCAGCGUGUUUCAUACAACUACGUCUGACAUAGGCUACUGUAUUAAUGUGGCGUGAGAAAGUGACAAGCCUAAGGAAAAAAAACUAUACGAAAACUGAUAAGAGUGGUCAGAGUUAAAGACUUCAAGAAAUGUGAUUUGAAUAGGAUUAAUAUAUCUCGAUACAGAUUUGUAAAAAUCAUAUUGCAUUUUUUUUUUUUUCUCAUUGCUGUUCACAUGAUAAAUAUGAUUGGAUUCCAAUAGGUUAUGCACAAAAAUUGGAUUUGGACUGACAGUCUAAACAAGGCUUAAAUUAUUUCACCUCAAAAAUCUACAUUUUGACAUUUAUCAUCAUGUUGUUUCAAACCUGUAUGACAUCUUUUGUGAAACACAAAAAGAUAUAUUUUGAGGAAUGUCUUAGCAAUUCUUUUUUUCAUAGAGAGCAAGUGAAUGGGGCCUGAAAGUGUUGAAGCUUCAAAAUGCCAAAAAAAGCACCAUAAAAGCAGUUCAUGCUGCAGUACUUGUGUAUUAUAUUUUAAGUGUCCUGAAGUCAUAUGAUCAGUUUAAGAAACUUAAAGUUAUCAAAUAAACUUUCCCUUCCCUUGUAUUUGCGUUAUUCAAACACUGGGCCUUGUUUUAAACAUCAGCGAUGUGAAAAUUUUCAGUGAAUAAAGUUGCAAUGUAACGGAAGCAGUGACAGUUAAUCUGUAUUGUGACACAUCAAAGUGUAGUAGAUUAUUGUAAGGAAAAAAUGUAGGACAAGAUUGUUGGUUGUUGAUUGGAUUUAGGCAGAUCUUAAUGCAAGCUUGAUUAAAAAAAAAAAAAAAAAAAAAGGUAAUAUAAAUAAAAUCAUUCAAAAUAAAAUCAAAAUAAUGCAUUUACAGUAUAGAUUGUAUUUCCAUUUCAUGCCAACUUUUAGACUGUUUCUUACACAAAGCUAUUGCAUGACUUGCAAUUUAGCAAACACGUGGUAUGGACCACUUUUAUGGCACUUUUUAGAGUGUAAAACCCGUUCUCAUUUACUUUCACUGUAUGUAUUUUUUUUCUUUUAUUUCCUGUGAAUGUAUAAUAAACAUAUUUUUACAAUAUAUCAUUCUCUGCAUUCACGUUUUUCAUGUUUUAUAUUUUAAAUUCAUAAGGACUUUUACACAUACUACUUAAAGGGUUAGUUCACCCAAAAAUGAAAAUUCUGUCAUUAAUUACUCACCCUCAUGUCGUUCCACACCCGUAAGGCCUUCGUUCAUUUUCGGAACACAAAUUAAGAUUUUUUUGAGAUAUUUUUUAUGAUAUAUAUAUAUAUAUAUACACAUUUUUAUCCCCCAUAGAAAGCAACAUAAUUGCCACAUUCAAGGUCCAGAAAAGUAGUAAAGACAUUGUUAAAAUAGUUCAUAACAUUAAGGAUGAACCACUGUAGUCACGUUUACUAUUUUAACAAGGUCUUUACUACUUUUCUGGACCUUGAAUGUGGUAAUUAUGUUGCUUUCUAUGGGAGAUAAAAAAUAAAAAUAAAUAAAUAAAUAAAAAAAUAAAAAAAAAAACUCUCAGAUUUCAUCAAAAAUAUCUUAAAGGGGUGGUUCAUUAUGAUAGGGGUGGUUCCUUAUGAUUUCACUUUUUUAACUUUAGUUAGUGUGUAAUGUUGCUGUUAGAGCACAAACAACAUCUGCAAAGUUACAAUGCUCAAAGUUCAAAGCAAAGGGAGAUAUUUUCUUUUAAAGAAUUCUGUAGGGACUAAAACGAGCUUCUUCCCGGGUUGGUGACAUCACAAACCCUAAAUUAAACUAUACCUGUUCUAUCUUCAUGCAGCAUAUAUUCUCUGGCUCUGUAGGCAUCUUACAACAGUUCCCACACGAGCGAUUUAUAGAUUAUCAUGACAGAAUAUGCUAAUCAAUGACUUUAAGAUAUCCCACAUCAGCUACAUAAAUUAAGCAACUAACCAUUCAGAAACGUCCUGUUGCAUUCUACAUGUUGUCACUUCUUCUUGAGUCUCUCCAUCAUUGUCCGACUCUGGUUUGAACAUAAAAGGCUGAACAGUUUCUGACAUAUUCAGUGAGUCUUCUUCAUGAGGUAAUCGGCACUGCUAACACUAUGUGCUAACACGAGCUCUUGAAACCCCGCCCUCUUCUUAGUCGCAGCAGCUCAUUUGCAUUUAAAGGGACACACACAAAAACAGAGCAUUUUGCUCACCCUCAAAAAGUGACAAAUUUAACAUGCUAUAAAAAAUUAUCUGUGGGGUAUUUUGAGCUAAAACUUCACUUACACACCCUGGGGACAUAAGAGACUUAUUUUACAACUUGUAAAAAUGGCAUUAUAUCACCCUUUUAAUUUGUGUCCCGAAGAUGAAUGAAGGUCUUACGGAUGUGGAACGACAUGAGGGUGAGUAAUUAAUGACAGAAAUCUCAUUUUUGUGUGAACUAAUCCUUUAAGACUAGGAACUUAGCUUGGUACUCGUCCUGUGCCGCCAAAUGCACCUAAUAACUCCGAUAAGAGGAGUUUUACAUGCACAGGCACCACUCACAUUUUCUUCAUACAACAUGAACAGUAUAGAAAAACAUACUUCAGUAAUACAGAUAAAUUGGAAGUAUAACCUCUUUAAUGUCAAUGUUAUGUUAGGGAAAAUCUUUUAUACAUGUAUAUCUAAACAGAUGAACAGAAUCACACCGCUCACAAAUCAAUAUAAUUGAGUCACUUCGUUCUUAUUCAUAUUAGUUCUGCUGCUAACAAGUACUGUAUAUAAUUAUAUAUACCCACUUACAAAAUUAGACUGAACAAAUAAGACUUAAUAUAAAAAAUAAAUAAUAUUCAGAAGUUUUAUAUUGUAGUUAAUGAGACAGCAGCCACUGUUAAUAAUUUUACUGUGCUCAUCAAUCGGUAAAGGCUUCUUAGAAAACCUAUUAAAACAUCAGAAUAUACUGUAUGCCACACAACAAUACUUGUAUGAAGAGAUUACUGUAGGUCUUUGUAUACACUGGUUCAAACAAAAUACUGUUAAAAAAUAAAGAUAAAACUAUGCAUUUUACACAAGCUUUGCUAUAAUGCUAGAUAAAUAACCCCUUUGGACUUGAUUUACACAGGUGUUAAAUAUUCUGUUGCCACGCAGUCUCUGUCUAGGCACUUUUAACAUGCACUGUGCUUCUGCACAGUUCACUGGGAGUGUUAUUUUACACAUGUACUAAUUGCAUUUUUGUUUUUUAAUUUAGUAAACAGAAAUGAUGGAAAAGACCAGGUAGAAAGAGUGAAUCUCAAGGUACCCCAAAAUCAACUUCUGCCAUUAUUUUCAUGACAAUUAAUCAAACCCAUUUCCACUUUUCAGCACACACACACACACACACACACACACACACACACACACACACAC